GUGCUUGUUAUGGCAGCACAUAUACUAAAAUUAGAAUGAUACAGAGAAGAUUAGCACGGCCCCUGAACAAGAAUGACAUGUAAAUAUGUGAAGCAUUCCAUAUUUUA
rnacentral:snRNA from 1 species